rnacentral:rRNA from 1 species
UUGGAGGGCAAGUCUGGUGCCAGCAGCCGCGGUAAUUCCAGCUCCAAUAGCGUAUAUUAAAGUUGUUGCAGUUAAAAAGCUCGUAGUUGAAUUUCGGGAUCAAUAUGUUGGUCGUGCCUUUGGUACGUACUAGCUUAUUGAUUUCUCCCUUCUGACGAACCAUGAUGUCAUUAAUUUGGCGUCAUGGGAAAUCAGGACUGUUACUUUGAAAAAAUUAGAGUGUUUAAAGCAGGCUUACGCUUGAAUACAUUAGCAUGGAAUAAUGAAAUAGGGCGCUUUGAUUCUAUUUUGUUGGUUUCUAGGAUCGACGUAAUGAUUAAUAGGGAUAGUUGGGGGCAUUAGUAUUCAAUUGUCAGAGGUGAAAUUCUUGGAUUUAUUGAAGACUAACUACUGCGAAAGCAUUUGCCAAGGAUGUUUUCAUUAAUCAAGAACGAAAGUUAGGGGAUCGAAGACGAUCAGAUACCGUCGUAGUCUUAACCAUAAACUAUGCCGACUAGGGAUCGGACGAUGUUAAUUUUUUAAUGACUCAUUCGGCGCCUUACGGGAAACCAAAGUGUUUGGGUUC